GUGGUUGAAAACGAUAAUUUCCCCUUUGAAAAUGUUUUUGACCUCUUACUUUCUCUACGCCGAAAAUCCCGAACGUGGAGUCCGUCGCCACAACAACAGAUUUGGGCACCAAAUUAGGAAAGGAAAAUGGAGCGAAGGGAUGAAAAAGGGGAAGAGCGAAGUCAAAUGGAAGCCGAAAAGCAGAAACUCCUUCCAGAACGGAGAGCCUAAUCAGUAAAUCAGGAAUAUUAAUCUGACUAAGCUAUGGUAUUUUGCAGCUUUAUAGUCUUAUCGGUCGCUCAUUUAUCAGCGGAUGCUUCGCAAUCCAUUGCUCGCUUUCCAGAUCCCCUCACCAGCCACCAACUUCUUUACCUUCUCUUCGCUUUCCCUCUUCAACAGCUCUCUCGCCUUGCCCUCUCUCUUUGGACCUUAUUCUGUGUUCCUCCACCUGGUUCUUUCUACUAUUACUACUAUUCCUCUGACUCUGAUCUCUCUUCCUACGACUAUGCUUCCGAUUGAUUCUCUCUGGAUGGAUACCCGGCGGUGCAUCUAAACAGUUCUUAGCAUGUUUUGUGUGAAAGGUAUCCGAAGAGUCUUUGCCAUUUCGGAUGCAGUCCAUGUGUUAGGGUGUCUCACUUCCAAGUUUCAGCAGUGUGAGUACAUGAAGGCUUGGGGCUUCUCAUCUCGUUGGUCUUCUAUCCAUGGUGAAAAAGUUUGUACAUAGGUUUUUUUCUGCAAAGGAAAUGUAACAAUGAAAAAGAGAGAAGCGUGCCAGAAAUGUGUGUUUCACUUUCAAUGAACUAAGCUUACAUUGUUGUUCGAUGUAGAACAUUUGUUUCACUUUCUGGUUUCAUUGGUUGAGGUUCGUCAGUAAGUCAGGGUUGACCUGAGAUUGUGUGUACGGAUCACUUGAAAAAUGAUGGCGGCACAUAUUUUACUUGGAUUCUAAAGGAAUGAAUGCCUCGACUGUAAGUAGAAGUGUUUGAUGCCAAUUAGCCACGAGGGAUGAGUUUGUUUGAUUGGGCUUUGCAGGUUUGACUAUGGACUGAGGAAGCUGUAAUGACGUAUAUACGGGAAAAAGCACCAAUCACGGCGAACAAACAUUCCAAACAUCCCACAUGUUUGCUUUUGAUUUUAGGGGCCAUUUCUGUUUUGAACUCCAAUUAUGUUGCCUUUGAAUUUAGGGGGGUGUUCAAGGGGUUGAAUUAAGCAAUAGAAGUUUGAAAUUAAUAUGUGAAAAUUAAAAA